rnacentral:rRNA from 1 species
ACUCAAAUGAAUUGACGGGGGCCCGCACAAGCGGUGGAGCAUGUGGUUCAAUUCGAUGCAGAGCGAAGAACCUUACCUGGGCUUGACAUGCAGGAAGUAGGAGCCGGAAACGGCAACGACCCGUUAAGUCGGGAGCCUGCACAGGUGGUGCAUGGCUGUCGUCAGCUCGUGCCGUGAGGUGUUGGGUUAAGUCCCGCAACGAGCGCAACCCUCACCCGAUGUUGCCAACGGUUCGGCCGGGCACUCUUCGGGAACUGCCAGCGAAGAGCUGGAGGAAGGGGGGGAUGACGUCAAGUCCGUAUGCCCCUUAUGUCCAGGGCUACACACAUGCUACAAUGGUCGGUACAGAGGGUCGCAAACCCGCGAGGGGGAGCCAAUCCCAUAACGCCGAUCUCAGUUCGGAUUGUAGGCUGCAACUCGCCUACAUGAAGGCGGAAUCGCUAGUAAGCGCAGAUCAGCAGGCUGCGCUGAAUACGUUCCCGGGCCUUGUACACACCGCCCGU